rnacentral:lncRNA from 1 species
AUGACAGCUGAGGGAUCUGUGCUGCCACUCUGUACUCUCUUGCCCUCUUCAUAAUUCCCAGGUUUUUUUGGGGGGCGGGGGAAUUAGGGUGUGCCUGGGCACCCCCAGCUCACCCCAUACACCCCCUCCAUAUUUGUCUACUCAGAAGUACAUCCUACUGUAAUGCAACUUACUCCUAGGUAAGUCUAUAGUGAAGCCUUAAGUACAGGUGAUCAUGCUAAUACAUUUCACUAGCUUUCCCAGGACUAUUAGCCAUAUCUAGAAAAAAGGGGGGAAAGCACCCAGUGGAGAAAGAAAGCCCUGCAAUAAAUAGAUUAAACUACCCAAUUGCAUUUCCCCUUUUGUUAUUGUUUCCUACCUUUUAUUAGUCACUUCCUACAACUUUUUUAAAAAAAUUAGCAAGGCAAAAGAUCCUUUCUCUGUGUGAAUUGUGACCAGAGUUUUCACGUAAAGGUAUAGUUUGACAGAGUUCCAUUAAUUUUAUUGCCUUGAAAUGACGCAACUAUGUUUUAAUAUCUAGAAUUAAGGAAAUAUAUAUGUGAACUUUUAUUUAUAUAACCCAAACAGAAGGGGUCAACAAAAGCUUUUCUUUAAUUCCCCCCCUUAAAUUGUAAAUUAAGCAGGUUCUACAAGGAAGAACAUAAUGACAUAAAGAGAUACCUUCUAUCGUUUCAACCAUCCUGCUAUCUCUCCUGGAGGGAAAAACGCUGGAGAAGAAAAACAGACUAUCCUAAUUCAUAUUGGCUUCAUUAUUCUCUAGAUAAAAGGUACUCGACAUAAAAUGAAGACUCAGAGUUCAAACUUUUAAAGAAUUCACAUAUUUACAUCAAUUUUUAAAAGGUUUUAUAACUAAUGAACUCAGAUUUCUUUUGGCAUGGCAUAAAAUCCAUUUGUACAGUUUUUAAUUAAGAAUGCAGCCUAUGCAAUUAAAAUUAAGGGUAGAGACUUCAUCAGAUGUCCUGAGAGAACCCCAGUCGAAAAAAUUAUGUUAAUGUUGUAUGUCCUAAAAGCAUUCUCUGAAUGUUAGAAACACUUUAUGAGAAAUUAUUUCUGCCAUACAAUAAGGAUUUAUUUAAAGUUGAUAAUUAGGAGCUUUUAAUUUUGGAGUGUUAGGACCUAGUUUAUCACUAAUCUCUUUGGCAUUUGCUAUGCAUUUGCAAACAAGAAGUAAGAUCAUUUAAAAAUAAAGAACAGGAAAACAUACAUCCAGUCAUGUCCACAAUCUAUAAUGCAAAUAGUGCACUGCACAUAUAGGCAGGGGAAUUCCUAAUGUGAAUUUUUAAUAUUUAAAGUAACCAGUGCUGUUAUUGGGAAUAUUAACACACUUUUAUGAUGAACUGAUUAAUAUUACAUUUGAAAUAAUGAAUACGAUGCAUCUAUAUAAAAUAUAAGUAAAUUCAAUUUAAUGUGCUUUAAUAUGUUUUACAUAGGGGGAAAAUAUGUAUGUCUCAUUGAUUACCCCAAAGUAUGUAUUUCAUUCUCUUUUAGUAUGUCAUAUAUAGAAUUAUAUGGGGUGGUCCCAAUAUUUCUAGAUUGCACACUUAUUGGGACCAGUGUUUGUUUGGCUUAAAGGAAUACUGCUGGCAAAUGGUAUUGGUGUUAUAUUUAUACUUCCAAAGAUAUAAACUCUUUUCAGUUUUGUAAUAAGAUGUGUUUCACAAUCUCUACCAAAGGAAAGUAUGCAAGUGAGAUUAAUAUACAGCUUAAAUGGAAGAGAAAGGAAGUAAUUGCUGAAAGAUGGUUUAAGUUAGGCUUGCUUCGUGUUGGGUCCAGGAGCUUUCACUUUACUUUUAUAUUGCAAAAUGUAAUAAAGUAUUUAGAAAGGUAACAAGGGACCUGAGGUUUAGCAGUGGCUGGUGAGUCGAUUUUAGCAAAGACUUAAAGGGGAAGAGUGGGAAAUGAUAUUGCCUAGGACAAGAAUUGAAUUUCCUGGCUUGGGGUAUCACAAAGAAAAGGAGUCAAAGAACUGAAUCAGAUGAAGGAGCAGUUGGCAUGGAUGGGACACUUUUGCAAGGCAUGGAUAUAGCCCCUAAAUAUGACCAAUUCCCCAUUAGGAAAAAGAAAAACUAGAUAGAGGAUAAAAGAUGGUGGUUUCAAUGAAAAAUGUGACGGAAAAGACAUAAGGAUAAAUUGAUUUCAGAACACAUCUUAGCUACACAUUAUGACCGCCAUAAGGAACUGGAAGCUGCCUUCAAACAACCACUGUGCAGUAGACAUUCCAAUGGUCAACACACAAAUCUCAUUCAUAUUGUGUUCAGCCUUGUAUAUCGCCUCCAAAGUGACUUGCAUUGUAACAUAUAAUAACACCAUAGUGCCAAUGGGCAAGCAACAGCCAAAUUAAAACAUGCCUAAAAAGGACUGGGUUUUUCCCAAUUCAUUUAGGGCUGACAGGAAGCUUUGAUGGCGUUACCAAGACCAUUGUGCCAUUUCCCCACCAAUUUAACCUGAGAUGGCGUAUGCUUUGGCCAUAUCAUUUUGGAAAGUUUCCAUGCCACCCUCAACUACUAUUGGCAGUGACACAGAAAACUCACUGGUCCCUACCCUGCUCCACCUCCUUGCCGUUGCUACAUAUUGAUGUGUUGUUCAGAUGGCAUUAAAAUAGCAGCCAACUGCAGUGACAAUGUGGUGUGGAGGAUCGGUGAAUAUGUCCUCUCAUAAUUUGAAUACCCAGAAUUUGAAUUGUCACAUACAGGGAGAAAGAAAGGGGUGGUUGCCCCCUCUUUUGUUGUCAAGUUCCUAUCCAAACUUUCACCUGUUGGAAGUUUAUCCUGGUGCUCAUAAUACAAAUAAAUGAACUAGGCCCUAUUCCACUACCAUGGCCCAGGACUGAAGGCAAGCUAAUAGAUUGCCCUUUUUAAAUUUACUUUAAAAAAAAAUCCCUUUAAAGGUUCUUGCGACUUUAAUUGAGCCAGUUCUGGAAAGUAAGCAGUCCAGAUUUCACUGAUUUAAUAAAAAUAUAGCUUGCCUGCUAUAUCAUAGAAAUAUACUUGUUAUAUCAUGUGAAGACCUUAAACUUCCAUCAAAGUGCAUCUCUAGAUGGUUGGGUGAGCUUGCAUGUUUCUUUUUAUGGCUCUAAAAUCUGCUGAAUGGUGUGUUGCAUAUUGUGAACAUUGCCUUUUUAAUUGGAGCUUUUACACAAUUGCGGUAUGCUUCACCUCUUGCUUUUUAGUGCUUUGUUUUGCAUCCUACCUAGAGACAUAUGCCCUUUGGUGCAAAGGCCUAUUCUGAAGAAAGAAAACUAAUGGAACAAAUAGGAAUUGUGUAUGAGAAAGUAACAAACAACUUGGUGGGCCUCAGAUUGCUGUGUUCCCCUCCCC